GAUGAACGCUGGCGGCGUGCCUAAUACAUGCAAGUCGAGCGAACGGACGAGAAGCUUGCUUCUCUGAUGUUAGCGGCGGACGGGUGAGUAACACGUGGAUAACCUACCUAUAAGACUGGGAUAACUUCGGGAAACCGGAGCUAAUACCGGAUAAUAUUUUGAACCGCAUGGGUCAAAAGUAAAAGACGGUCUUGCUGUCACUUAUAGAUGGAUCCGCGCUGCAUUAGCUAGUUGGUAAGGUAACGGCUUACCAAGGCAACGAUGCAUAGCCGACCUGAGAGGGUGAUCGGCCACACUGGAACUGAGACACGGUCCAGACUCCUACGGGAGGCAGCAGUAGGGAAUCUUCCGCAAUGGGCGAAAGCCUGACGGAGCAACGCCGCGUGAGUGAUGAAGGUCUUCGGACCGUAAAACUCUGUUAUUAGGGAAGAACAUAUGUGUAAGUAACUGUGCACAUCUUGACGGUACCUAAUCAGAAAGCCACGGCUAACUACGUG
rnacentral:rRNA from 1 species